UUUGACAUAAGCCCGCUUCUCUCCAUCGAGCGCUGCUUUCUCUAUAUCCAGAUUCCCGCCGCUGCACAUUCCAAUACCGGAAACAGCCGUGGUAGGCGGGAUGGAAGUCAGUGACAGAGAGAGAAGUGGCGUUCUGCACAGCUUGGUAUCAAUCCGCUUUCAUUUGGCCGGAUCACCUUAAACUACACUAGCUCCUCCCGCAGUCGAUUUUGGUAUUGGAGACGAGACAAGGCAGAGCCUGUGGAGGGAAAGGGCACGGCAGCCCUUGAGGCAAGGAAAUGAGAAAACUGCCCCUGAUCCAAGCAGAGCAGAACUCCCAUAGCCUGGAAUUCCAGCUCUGGGUACUGCUUUCAGAGUUGGGAACCUGCACUAUACAAUUGGACCAGACCCUUUGGAAUACCCUGUGUCUCAAACACCCUAUGGAGCACACACU